rnacentral:rRNA from 1 species
UGGGGAAUAUUGCGCAAUGGCCGAAAGGCUGACGCAGCGACGCCGCGUGUGGGAGGAAGCCCUUCGGGGUGUAAACCACUGUCAGGGGGGACGAAUUUCGGACGGGCAAAUAGCCCGGACGAGUGACGGUACCUCCAAAGGAAGCACCGGCUAACUCCGUGCCAGCAGCCGCGGUAAGACGGAGGGUGCGAGCGUUGUUCGGAAUUACUGGGCGUAAAGCGCGGGCAGGUGGCCUUUUAAGUCCUUUGUGAAAUCCCGGGGCUCAACUCCGGAUGUGCAUAGGAUACUGGAAGGCUAGAGACUGGUAGAGGCGAGCGGAAUUCCUGGUGUAGCGGUGGAAUGCGUAGAUAUCAGGAAGAACACCGGUGGCGAAGGCGGCUCGCUGGGCCAGUUCUGACACUCAUCCGCGAAAGCGUGGGGAGCAAACAGG